UACCGCCAUCUUUAACGCUCCCUGCUUCCGCGCUCCCCGCGUAAGCUCCGGCUUCUCCCCAGAGGCUGCUCGGGAAGCAGGAUGAAAACACUGCCACCACUUUUCAAACUACAGGGUGUGAAUAAAUGGGGUGCUGCACAAGCAGUGGUCAUAGGACCUGAGCUACAUCUGCAAGUGCUGGAAUCAACAAUUAUUACAAAGCAAGAAACUGUAAUUAUAUCUUUAAAUUAUAUAUUUAUUUUUUAAA